rnacentral:rRNA from 1 species
AACGAACGCUGGCGGCAGGCUUAACACAUGCAAGUCGCACGCCCCGCCAGGGGAGUGGCCGACGGGUGCGUAACGCGUGGGAACAUACCCUUUCCUGCGGAAUAGCUCUGGGAAACUGGAAUUAAUACCGCAUACGCCCUACGGGGGAAAGAUUUAUCGGGGAAGGAUUGGCCCGCGUUGGAUUAGCUAGUUGGUGGGGUAAAGGCCUACCAAGGCGACGAUCCAUAGCUGGUCUGAGAGGAUGAUCAGCCACAUUGGGACUGAAACACGGCCCAAACUCCUACGGGAGGCAGCAGUGGGGAAUAUUGGACAAUGGGCGCAAGCCUGAUCCAGCCAUGCCGCGUGAGUGAUGAAGGCCUUAGGGUUGUAAAGCUCUUUCACCGAUGAAGAUAAUGACGGUAGUCGGAGAAGAAGCCCCGGCUAACUUCGUGCCAGCCGCCGCGGUAACAC